GCAGGGCGGGGGCGCGGCCGCGGCCGCGCCGCUCGUCCCGGCGGUCCCGGACCGGCCUGAGGGGCCGGGGGGGGUCCGACCCCCCCCGCGCCGCG